rnacentral:misc_RNA from 1 species
CGGGCAGAAAUCAGGAGGACAAGAACUUGUUGGUGGAUUGGACUGCACUGUUCAUCGUAAUUUCUUUGGUAGUCAGCUUCAGAGUUUUGAAACGGAGCUUUCUGUGCCUAAGCUUGCAGAAGAAGAAGGUGGACCGAACAGUUGUCGUGGAGUGUUUAUACGUGCACCAGCCAUCCUUAAAGCAGGCCCAAGUGUUGAAGUACUAGCUGAUUAUCCUGUUCCACUUGACAAACUAGCAAGUACGGCACUUACUAUAACAGAACAG